rnacentral:rRNA from 1 species
CCUACGGGUGGCAGCAGUGAGGAAUAUUGGUCAAUGGACGAGAGUCUGAACCAGCCAAGUAGCGUGAAGGAUGACUGCCCUAUGGGUUGUAAACUUCUUUUAUAUGGGAAUAAAAUGUUCCACGUGUGGGACUUUGUAUGUACCAUAUGAAUAAGGAUCGGCUAACUCCGUGCCAGCAGCCGCGGUAAUACGGAGGGUCCGAGCGUUAUCCGGAUUUAUUGGGUUUAAAGGGAGCGUAGGUGGAUUGUUAAGGCAGUUGUGAAAGGUUGCGGCUCAACCGUAAAAUUGCAGUUGAAACUGGCAGUCUUGAGUCCAGUAGAGGUAGGCGGAAUUCGUGGUGUAGCGGUGAAAUGCUUAGAUAUGACGAAGAACUCCGAUUGCGAAGGCAGCUCACUGGACUGCAACUGACACUGAGGCUCGAAAGUGUGGGUAUCAAACAGGAUUAGAUACCCGGGUAGUC